CCCUUAGAUGUUCUGGGCCGCACGUGCGCUACACUGACACGUUCAUCAAGUCUAUAACCUUGACCGAGAGGUCUGGGUAAUCUUUUAAAAACGUGUCGUGCUGGGGAUAGAUUAUUGCAAUUAUUAAUCUUCAACGAGGAAUUCCUAGUAAACGCAAGUCAUCAACUUGCAUUGAUUACGUCCCUGCCCUUUGUACACACCGCCCGUCGCUACUACCGAUUGAAUGAUUUAGUGAGUACCAGGGACCGAGCGCUUUGGUUGGGUUUCCUUCCCUAGCGCUUGGGAACUGUCGCAAACUUGACCAUUUAGAGGAAGUAAAAGUCGUAACA
rnacentral:rRNA from 1 species